AUUUCUUCAAAACACCUGUACAAGAAGUAUUAGUGCUUUCUAAUAAAGCUUCUGGAUACACAGCUAAGUCUAGUUUGGAUACAGCAUUCCAUAACAGAAUUUUAAUUUUUGGCAGUGCUAGGAAUAGUGAACCCAGGGCCUUGCAUACACUUGGAAAAUACUCUACCACUGUGCUACAUCCUCAGCUCAUAAGUUAUUAUUAAUCUGGGAGUUUGUCACAGAAAAUUAUAAUUGGGAUCUGAUUGUAGUGGCAAAAUAACAGGAGGGAAGAAAGAAGUCAUCAAUGAGAUUCUUUUUUAGUUUAGGAAGAUAAACUUAGAGAUAUAUGUAAGGUGCUGGGGGUGUAGCUUAGUGACAGAUCUAACAUGUGUGAGGACCUGGGUUCAACCUUCAUCACUGGAAAAAAAUAGGAAACAUAUGCAAAACAUGGGGAAUAAUGGGCUGGGGCUGUAGCUCAGUGGUACAGUGCUUGCAUAUCACAUGUGAGGCACUGGGUUCAAUCAGCACCACAUAAAAAUAAAUAAAAUAAAAUUAUAGUAACAAAAAACAUGGGAAUAGUGACCAAGAAGAAUUGAGAAG
rnacentral:lncRNA from 1 species